AAUUGCUCGUCGUCCACUACACGUUGAUAACUUCACAACAAUAGGUGUAAAGUGAGGAUUUUCAAGAAACUUCAAGAUAAUUUUAAGAGGUAAAUAUGGUUUAUAUUUGUUUACUAUGUCAUUGACGUGCCAGCGUAAUCUUUAACGUUGUUGCUUUCGUAAAUUUCCUUUGUUUGGCACUUAUAUACAAGGCAAGUUUCCACUCGUAUGGCGCUGGUCAGUUCGUUCUUUGACUUCGCUUUGGCGACUACUUUCGACCUAAUUUAUGUACACGUUUUUAUAUAUAGAUGGAAUGGACGAACCUUCACGAUGUUUUGCUAUGUAGGGAUAUACUUGUGGUGGAACCUUACACGACAAAGUCACGAACAAGCCAAAGAGGACAUUUGUGGAACACAAUUGCUGAAAAUUUGAACAAGUUGGCAGAGCCAAAGUUUUUGGUUGUACAGCGCUCUGUUUGUGACCGCUUCAAGCUACUGAGGGAUAAGUUUAAGAGAAAAAUGGCUGCAGAGGAACAUGGCUCAGGAAUUUCCCCAGAAAUUUCGGAGCUAGACACACUUUUGGAGGAAAUUCUCGGAUUAGAAGAAUCAUACA